rnacentral:rRNA from 1 species
GCGAACGGGUGAGUAACACGUGAGUAACCUGCCCCCUUCUUGCUGGAUAACCGCAUGAAAGUGUGGCUAAUACGGGAUAUUAUGGGUCUGUACGCAUGGUGGGCCUGGGAAAGAUUGCGCCUUUUUUUGGUGUUUUUGGUGGGGGAUGGGCUCGCGGCCUAUCAGCUUGUUGGGGGGGUGAUGGCCUACCAAGGCGGUGACGGGUAGCCGGCCUGAGAGGGUGGACGGUCACACUGGGACUGAGACACGGCCCAGACUCCUACGGGAGGCAGCAGUGGGGAAUAUUGCACAAUGGGCGCAAGCCUGAUGCAGCGACGCCGCGUGAGGGAUGGAGGCCUUCGGGUUGUGAACCUCUUUCGCCAGUGAAGCAGGCCUGCCUC